rnacentral:lncRNA from 1 species
CACUUCUAACAUGGUAUCAGAGCUAUGGUUAGAGCCUAUCCUAGCGAUAUUUGUUGGACAGAUUGUUCCACCCGCUAUUGGGCCGUUAUCGGACCACCCAUUAAUAUCUAGUCUCACGCUCGAUAUGUAUAUACAUCGGCGUGAGGGGGGUGUGUUGGAAGUCCCACAUCGGAUAGAGAUAAGGCUAAUUUAUAAUAUAUAAGUGGG